rnacentral:rRNA from 1 species
ACUAAGCGUACACGGUGGAUGCCCUGGCAGUCAGAGGCGAUGAAGGACGUGCUAAUCUGCGAUAAGCGUCGGUAAGGUGAUAUGAACCGUUAUAACCGGCGAUUUCCGAAUGGGGAAACCCAGUGUGAUUCGUCACACUAUCAUUAACUGAAUCCAUAGGUUAAUGAGGCGAACCGGGGGAACUGAAACAUCUAAGUACCCCGAGGAAAAGAAAUCAACCGAGAUUCCCCCAGUAGCGGCGAGCGAACGGGGAGCAGCCCAGAGCCUGAAUCAGUGUGUGUGUUAGUGGAAGCGUCUGGAAAGGCGCGCGAUACAGGGUGACAGCCCCGUACACAAAAAUGCACAUGCUGUGAGCUCGAUGAGUAGGGCGGGACACGUGGUAUCCUGUCUGAAUAUGGGGGGACCAUCCUCCAAGGCUAAAUACUCCUGACUGACCGAUAGUGAACCAGUACCGUGAGGGAAAGGCGAAAAGAACCCCGGCGAGGGGAGUGAAAAAGAACCUGAAACCGUGUACGUACAAGCAGUGGGAGCACGCUUAGGCGUGUGACUGCGUACCUUUUGUAUAAUGGGUCAGCGACUUAUAUUCUGUAGCAAGGUUAACCGAAUAGGGGAGCCGAAGGGAAACCGAGUCUUAACUGGGCGUUAAGUUGCAGGGUAUAGACCCGAAACCCGGUGAUCUAGCCAUGGGCAGGUUGAAGGUUGGGUAACACUAACUGGAGGACCGAACCGACUAAUGUUGAAAAAUUAGCGGAUGACUUGUGGCUGGGGGUGAAAGGCCAAUCAAACCGGGAGAUAGCUGGUUCUCCCCGAAAGCUAUUUAGGUAGCGCCUCGUGAAUUCAUCUCCGGGGGUAGAGCACUGUUUCGGCAAGGGGGUCAUCCCGACUUACCAACCCGAUGCAAACUGCGAAUACCGGAGAAUGUUAUCACGGGAGACACACGGCGGGUGCUAACGUCCGUCGUGAAGAGGGAAACAACCCAGACCGCCAGCUAAGGUCCCAAAGUCAUGGUUAAGUGGGAAACGAUGUGGGAAGGCCCAGACAGCCAGGAUGUUGGCUUAGAAGCAGCCAUCAUUUAAAGAAAGCGUAAUAGCUCACUGGUCGAGUCGGCCUGCGCGGAAGAUGUAACGGGGCUAAACCAUGCACCGAAGCUGCGGCAGCGACGCUGAUGCGUUGUUGGGUAGGGGAGCGUUCUGUAAGCCUGUGAAGGUGUGCUGUGAGGCAUGCUGGAGGUAUCAGAAGUGCGAAUGCUGACAUAAGUAACGAUAAAGCGGGUGAAAAGCCCGCUCGCCGGAAGACCAAGGGUUCCUGUCCAACGUUAAUCGGGGCAGGGUGAGUCGACCCCUAAGGCGAGGCCGAAAGGCGUAGUCGAUGGGAAACAGGUUAAUAUUCCUGUACUUGGUGUUACUGCGAAGGGGGGACGGAGAAGGCUAUGUUGGCCGGGCGACGGUUGUCCCGGUUUAAGCGUGUAGGCUGGUUUUCCAGGCAAAUCCGGAAAAUCAAGGCUGAGGCGUGAUGACGAGGCACUACGGUGCUGAAGCAACAAAUGCCCUGCUUCCAGGAAAAGCCUCUAAGCAUCAGGUAACAUCAAAUCGUACCCCAAACCGACACAGGUGGUCAGGUAGAGAAUACCAAGGCGCUUGAGAGAACUCGGGUGAAGGAACUAGGCAAAAUGGUGCCGUAACUUCGGGAGAAGGCACGCUGAUAUGUAGGUGAAGCGACUUGCUCGUGGAGCUGAAAUCAGUCGAAGAUACCAGCUGGCUGCAACUGUUUAUUAAAAACACAGCACUGUGCAAACACGAAAGUGGACGUAUACGGUGUGACGCCUGCCCGGUGCCGGAAGGUUAAUUUAUGGGGUCAGCGCAAGCGAAGCUCUUGAUCGAAGCCCCGGUAAACGGCGGCCGUAACUAUAACGGUCCUAAGGUAGCGAAAUUCCUUGUCGGGUAAGUUCCGACCUGCACGAAUGGCGUAAUGAUGGCCAGGCUGUCUCCACCCGAGACUCAGUGAAAUUGAACUCGCUGUGAAGAUGCAGUGUACCCGCGGCAAGACGGAAAGACCCCGUGAACCUUUACUAUAGCUUGACACUGAACAUUGAGCCUUGAUGUGUAGGAUAGGUGGGAGGCUUUGAAGUGUGGACGCCAGUCUGCAUGGAGCCGACCUUGAAAUACCACCCUUUAAUGUUUGAUGUUCUAACGUGGACCCGUAAUCCGGGUUGCGGACAGUGUCUGGUGGGUAGUUUGACUGGGGCGGUCUCCUCCUAAAGAGUAACGGAGGAGCACGAAGGUUGGCUAAUCCUGGUCGGACAUCAGGAGGUUAGUGCAAUGGCAUAAGCCAGCUUGACUGCGAGCGUGACGGCGCGAGCAGGUGCGAAAGCAGGUCAUAGUGAUCCGGUGGUUCUGAAUGGAAGGGCCAUCGCUCAACGGAUAAAAGGUACUCCGGGGAUAACAGGCUGAUACCGCCCAAGAGUUCAUAUCGACGGCGGUGUUUGGCACCUCGAUGUCGGCUCAUCACAUCCUGGGGCUGAAGUAGGUCCCAAGGGUAUGGCUGUUCGCCAUUUAAAGUGGUACGCGAGCUGGGUUUAGAACGUCGUGAGACAGUUCGGUCCCUAUCUGCCGUGGGCGCUGGAGAAUUGAGGGGGGCUGCUCCUAGUACGAGAGGACCGGAGUGGACGCAUCACUGGUGUUCGGGUUGUCAUGCCAAUGGCACUGCCCGGUAGCUAAAUGCGGAAGAGAUAAGUGCUGAAAGCAUCUAAGCACGAAACUUGCCCCGAGAUGAGUUCUCCCUGACUCCUUGAGAGUCCUGAAGGAACGUUGAAGACGACGACGUUGAUAGGCCGGGUGUGUAAGCGCAGCGAUGCGUUGAGCUAACCGGUACUAAUGAACCGUGAGGCUUAACC